AUUGAACGCUGGCGGAAUGCUUUACACAUGCAAGUCGAGCGGCAGCACGGGGGCAACCCUGGUGGCGAGCGGCGAACGGGUGAGUAAUACAUCGGAACAUGCUCAGUCGUGGGGGAUAACACUUCGAAAGGAGUGCUAAUACCGCAUACGUCCUGAGGGGGAAAGCGGGGGAUCGCAAGACCUCGCGCGAUUGGAGUGGCCGAUGUCAGAUUAGCUAGUUGGUGGGGUAAAGACCUACCAAGGCAACGAUCUGUAGCUGGUCUGAGAGGAUGAUCAGCCACACUGGGACUGAGACACGGCCCAGACUCCUACGGGAGGCAGCAGUGGGGAAUUUUGGACAAUGGGGGCAACCCUGAUCCAGCCAUUCCGCGUGAGUGAAGAAGGCCUUCGGGUUGUAAAGCUCUUUCGGCAGGAACGAAACGGUGAGCUCUAACAUAGCUUGCUAAUGACGGUACCUGAAGAAGAAGCACCGGCUAACUACGUG
rnacentral:rRNA from 1 species